GCGAUCAUACCAGCACUAAUGCACCGGAUCCCAACAGAACUUCGCAGUUAAACGUGCUUGGGCGAGAGUAGUACUAGGAUGGGUGACCUCCUGGGAAGUCCUCGUGUUGCACCCU
rnacentral:rRNA from 1 species